UACGGAGGGAGCGAGCGUUGUUCGGAAUUACUGGGCGUAAAGGGUGCGCAGGCGGCUUUGUAAGUUGGGAGUGAAAUCCCUGGGCUUAACCCAGGAAUUGCUUUCAAAACUACAGAGCUAGAGUCUCGGAGAGGUUGGCGGAAUUCCGAGUGUAGAGGUGAAAUUCGCAGAUAUUCGGAGGAACACCAGUGGCGAAGGCGGCCAACUGGACGGGUACUGACGCUGAGGUACGAAAGCGUGGGGAUCAAACAGG
rnacentral:rRNA from 1 species